rnacentral:lncRNA from 1 species
GUAAUUAUCUCGAUUCAGGACUGAAAACACCAAAUAUUCUUCAGUUUUUCACCAAACUGGGGUGAAAUGUGACAAAUGGGUGAAUAGAAAGAUAUAUUUACAACGCUCGUGUUACAUUUACACCAUUAAUUUUAUGAUUUGGUGAAUUUCAGACGUUUUAGAGAGGGGAAAAACAGGAGAAACCACGACGGAGACGCAGAGAAAUCCAAGCGGUGAGAGGCUGGGUUUCAACUGUAGGGAGCAGCAGUCGUCUUCACAAAAGGACCAGGAGGACGAGGAAGAGGAGGAGGAGGAGGAGGAGGAAGAUCUGAUGUGGUGAGCCCAAACACCUCGCUCCAAUUUGAUGACACGUUCCCACUUUGGUGACGAAUUUGACGCAGCACUGAGCUGGAGAAGCCAUGCCUCCAGGAAGCUCUCUGCCGUGAUUGAAAUGUACACAGACACGCCCACGAAGCGCAGAGCCAGAUUUCCAGCCACGUCUCAGCUGUGA